rnacentral:rRNA from 1 species
GACUCCGCGGAGGAUCACUCGGCUCGUGCGUCGAUGAAGAACGCAGCUAGCUGCGAGAAUUAAUGUGCACCGCAGGACACACCGAUCAGGGAAACGGCAGACGCACUUGCGGCCCCGGGUUCCUCCCGGGGCUACGCCUGUCUGAGCGUCG